AUGCCUCAUUGAUUUGGUCGCUACCGGACAUGAGGGACGGCUCAACCUGUGGCCACAAUUCAUUUCAAUUUUUUUUGUCCCAAUUUUAUAUUUAUCCUUUGUCUGUUUUUCCACCCCCGUUUUAAACACUUCAAUCCAAACAAAUCAUUCUUCUGCAAUUUUCAAUCUCUAUUAUUUAUUCUUCAAUUGAUAAAUCUUUCUUCUCCAAUUUCCAAUUUCCAAUCUCCUAUCUCUAUCAUCUAUUUUUCAAUCAGGAAAUUGUGUUUUUCUAGAGAAAUGAAUUUUCAUUAAAAGUGUGGACUCCAUUCUUACUUCCAAGCCAUCUCGAGGGAGGCAAAAGAGUAUGAACUUGGAGAAGGAAAAUAUUAUUUGGUAGUGGUUUGGAGUGCAAUUGUUUGGCAAUGUUUCUUCUUGGGUGCAAUUGGAGUCAUUUUCUACUCUUCCUCUCUUCUAUCAGCCAUCAUCAUAACAGUUCUACUUCCCGUCACAGAAGUAUUAGCGGUUAUUUUCUACCAUGAAAAGUUUCAAGCAGAAAAGGGCGUCUCUCUUUUCCUAUCGCUUUGGGGUUUUAUUUCCUACUUCUAUGGCGAGAUGAAACACAACACGAACAACAAGAAUGUUCAGAAUGAUUCACUUCAAACUGAGUUAACUCAAUCUCAUGAAGGUAGCCAAAUGGAGUUGACCCAAACUGCUGCUCCUUGAUCUCUUCUAUUUUAUAUAUACAGUAGUACCAAUACCUAUAUAUUUCUCUAUUUUUGUGUGUUUUUAUUCUCUAAUGACAAAGAAGUUCGACCCAAAAAAUCAUUUAGUUGAAUUACCUCAUCGUAAUUCUUAAGCUAUUAGAGAAUAUGCAUUUAAUAAUCAUAUUUUGUCUCCGUUAAGGAUGUGUCAUUAUCCUUUGAUGAAGAUUCUGGCUCGACGACAUUACAAGGGUUACAAUCACAGUUGAAAGAUAAAAUGAAUCCACAGAAAGGCUUGAGUUGUUGUAAUUUAAAGUUUAUUGUAAUCUUACUUUGCAUUUGUAUCAACUACAAAUACAUAUAAUCAGAUUGAAUGGAA